rnacentral:misc_RNA from 1 species
ACGAACGAGGUUGGUGCAGUGAUCACGCAGGUUCAAGCCCUGCCGAGGGUGCCGACGCGGUGACGGAGAUCGUCCCGCGCCGUCCGCCCGAGGCAGUGCCGUACUCCUCGUGAGCACGGACCAGCGGCGGUUGGACCGGAGCCACAAGGCGGCGGUGGAAGGUGAGUCGAUGCCGGCCCGUCCGGCGUGGACAGCUUACAGCCCUGUCGUAUGGCGCUCCGGCCCGACCGAGGAAGAUGGGCAGCCCUUGCCCGCCGUGGUACACGCCGAACGGCGGGGCCUCCCGACGCGAGUGAACCGUGCGGCGCGGACUGCAUGCAGUGCGAGCCGUGGCGGCGAUCUCGCGGCGGUGAACGCCACCCGU